AUUGCCCUAGUAACGGCGAGUGAAGCGGCAAAAGCUCAGAUUUGAAAUCUGGUGUCAUUUUGGCAUCCGAGUUGUAGUCUGUAGAGGUGUAUUCGAGUGUGGCUCUGGCUUAAGUUCUUUGGAACAGGACGUCAUAGAGGGUGAGAACCCCGUUAACGGCCUUUGUCUUAUGCUCAUGUGAAUCUCCUUCAACGAGUCGAGUUGUUUGGGAAUGCAGCUCUAAAUGGGUGGUAAAUUCCAUCUAAAGCUAAAUAUUGGCAAGAGACCGAUAGCGCACAAGUAGAGUGAUCGAAAGAUGAAAAGAACUCUGAACAGAGAGUUAAAUAGUACGUGAAAUUGUUGAAAGGGAAGCACUUGCGACCAGACGCACUUGCAGCCGAUCAAUCCUCAUUCUUGGGGGUGCACUCGGUUGUAUGUGGGUCAGCAUCAGUUAUGGUGGUGGGAAAAAGACUAAGGGAAUGUAACUCCUUUCGGGGAGUGUUAUAGCCUUUGGUGCAAUGCUGCCUACCGUGACUGAGGACCGCGCUU
rnacentral:rRNA from 1 species